AAUUCUCAACCCUUCCAGCUUUGGUGUUGGACUUGGGGCUUGGAUGUGGAGGUGUUGUCAGCCUUCAUAGGUUGACUCCUCUGAAAUGCAUUAGCGGAACCGUUUGCGAUCCGUCACAGGUGUGAUAAUUAUCUACGCCAGUGGAUUGCUCUCUGUGUUGUUCAGCUGCCAACCUGUCCACAAGGACAACUAAUACUGAUU
rnacentral:misc_RNA from 1 species